AAAAUAGCUGUAUGCAACUAGAUUUUCGAAAAAUAAAUACCAAAUUUAAUACUAUCAUAAUACCAUUUCUUGAAUAUUUGCAAAACCAUAUACAAUUUCUUGAUUUUUUUCUCAAUGGCAAACAAUUUCUUGGGAAGUUGUUUUUCCAAAAUUUUAGAAAUCUCAUUACAAAUUUUGAACCAGAUUUAUUUUAAGUUGUGAAAUAAAAUCAUUUCAAUAUAUAUAUAUUUAUUUAUUUAGAUUCAACAAAAACAUUCAAGAAAAACUUUUAAUUUUUUUAGAGAUUCUUUAUUGUAAUGGGCAAAUUAAAAUGGAAAAAUCAUUUCAAUAUAUAUUGUUUAGAUUCAACAAAAAAAUUCAAGAAAAACUUUGAACUUUUUUAGAGAUUCUUUAAUUGCAAUGGGCAAAUUAAAAUGGCGGGAAAACAAGCUUAAAAUGAGAGAGAGAGAGAAUGAAUGAAUUAACAGGAUUAUGGUCGGAGCCAUAGCAUGGUCAUGCUGGAUCUAGCGUGGUGGCCCUGCUCGAUAUUUUUAUAAAAUCUGAUUGUUCUUAGAAGGGCAAAUUGGGAAUUUUGAAAUCACAAUCGAGGAGCAUUAUAAAUAGUCAUUAAAUACUCCCGAGUCAAACUUUUGGAGUCCUAGAAAGUGUAUUGGAGGCCGAAGAAGAUUAGAGAAGAGAAUUAAGAGUUGUAUAAUUUUUCAUACAUUUUCUUUUUCUUCUUUAGUAUAAUUUUUCAUACCUUUUCUUUUCAGUGUUGUAUUAUUUCUUUUAUUGUUGUAUAAGUUACGAGCUUAUUUUCAGUCUCACAUAGUAUACGUCUUAACUGAUCAGCUUGUAAGACAGAUUUUGCAAAAACUUAAAACAUCAAGACGAUUGUUAAGGUUUUUCAGGAUGAACUUGUACAAGAAUUAUGGAAGCUGUUCGUGGGUGGGUCGUCCAAUGAGCAUGAAUCGGGACCUGGAAUAAUUCUAAUCACUCUUGAAGGACAUCGCUUACACGCGACUCUAAGGUUUGGAUUUAGUGCUUCUAACAACGAAGCUGAAUAUGAGGCCUUAUUAACUGGAAUUUAGAUCGCCAAGGAACUAAAAAUGAAAGUCAUCCUGUGCUACAAUGACUCGCAGCUCAUGGUGAACCAUGUAUUUAGAGAGUAUCAAGCUCGUGAACUUAAGAUUACUACAUAUUUAGCCAAAGUAUAGGGGAAUUAUCAGAGUUCAAGUUUCAUCGAUGAUAGAUUAUUAAUAAUAUUUAGUCUUAGUUUU